rnacentral:rRNA from 1 species
UGAGGAAUUUUGCGCAAUGGGGGAAACCCUGACGCAGCGACGCCGCGUGGAGGAUGAAGGCCUUCGGGUCGUAAACUCCUGUCAGAGGUGAAGAAUGCCCGCAAGGGUUUGACGGUAACCUCAGAGGAAGCCCCGGCUAACUACGUGCCAGCAGCCGCGGUAAUACGUAGGGGGCAAACGUUACUCGGAAUUACUGGGCGUAAAGGGUGCGUAGGCGGCUGGGAAAGUCAAGGAUGAAAUCCCGUGGCUCAACUGCGGAACGGUCCUUGAAACUACUCGGCUUGAGGAUAACCGAAGAGAACGGAAUUCCCGGUGGAGCGGUGAAAUGCGUAGAUAUCGGGAGGAACACCUGAGGCGAAAGCGGUUCUCUAGACUACUCCUGACGCUGAGGCACGAAAGCUAGGGGAGCAAACGG